UACGAAGGGGGCUAGCGUUGUUCGGAAUUACUGGGCGUAAAGGGCUCGUAGGCGGCCAACUAAGUCAGACGUGAAAUCCCUCAGCUUAACUGGGGAACUGCGUCUGAUACUGGAUGGCUUGGAUUCGGGAGAGGAAUGCGGAAUUCCACGUGUAGCGGUGAAAUGCGUAGAGAUGUGGAGGAACACCAGUGGCGAAGGCGGCUUUUUGGUCUGUAACUGACGCUGAGGCGCGAAAGCGUGGGGAGCAAACAGG
rnacentral:rRNA from 1 species